UACGUAGGUGGCGAACGUUAUCCGGAAUUACUGGGCGUAAAGGGUCUGUAGGCGGUCUGAAAGGUCUGGCGUGACAGUUCUCGGCUUAACUGAGAGAGUGCGUUGGAAACCGGUAGACUAGAAUCACGUCGAGGUCGGUGGAAUUCCCGGUGUAGUGGUGGAAUGCGUAGAGAUCAUGAGGAAGACCAGUGGCGAAGGCGGGUCUCUGGACAGUUCCUGACACUGAGGCACGAAGGCCAGGGGAGCAAACGGG
rnacentral:rRNA from 1 species